UUGAUUUGGUAUUUGUUCGAUUGUUUGGUCAUUUUCUAAACCGAUCCGAAAGUUGGUCUACUCUAUUACAUGGGAAUUUAGAAUACUUAUUCAAGAAGCCGUAUGACUUUAAAUGGUCGCCCACCGACCUGAAGACGUGUGGUAUCACAUCACUUUCUCGUAAUAUAUACUGCAUAAAAUUAAUUUCACAGUGCAAAGGCUUUGAUUUAUGCAUUACUCUAAGGUGUGAAUCACGAGUUAACACGGCCUGAGGAUGGAUGUCUAUAGGGCCUGAACAAAGCCCAGCAGCCUGGGAUAUAAGAAGUAAACCUGAGAGGUCCAUAUGAACAGGAUCCUUCCAUCCUUUUCUCGGAC